GUUCAGUUACAUUCUUCUGCAUACGGAUAGCUAGUUAAUUUUUCUUCCAACUUUACACUCUAUGCUUUACAGAAGGUCACUGUUACCUCAGGCAAUGGGCUGACUCUUCUCAUCUGGCCUUGAUAAAUCCAUUAUAUUUGUGGUAUCCCUUACCUUUCUUCUAGAGAUGCAUUCUAUUAGCCUAAUUUCUUCAGACAUUUUAUCUUUGGAGAACAUCAUUCUCAGCAAACUGACACGAACAGAAAAUGAAAUACCGCAUAUUCUCACUCAUAGAGUUCCGGAGGCUGGGAAGUCCAAGUUCAAGACUGAUUCUGUGUUUUGUGAGAGACUGCUUUCUGGAUCAUAGAUGACACCUUGCUUUGUCCUCACACGGUGGAAGGGUAAAUAGCACUCAGUCAUGGCUGGAUAUGGUGGC
rnacentral:lncRNA from 13 species